GCGAAAGUGGCGGAAUUGGUAGACGCACCAGAUUUAGGUUCUGGCGCCGCGAGGCGUGAGAGUUCGAGUCUCUCCUUUCGCACCA
rnacentral:tRNA from 2 species